UACGUAGGGGGCAAGCGUUGUCCGGAAUUAUUGGGCGUAAAGAGCGCGUAGGCGGUCCGAUAAGUCGGCUGUGAAAGUCAGGGGCUCAACCCUUGGAAGCCGGCCGAUACUGUCGGACUAGAGUCCGGAAGAGGCGAGUGGAAUUCCCGGUGUAGCGGUGAAAUGCGCAGAUAUCAGGAAGAACACCCGUGGCGAAGGCGGCUCUCUGGGGCGGUACUGACGCUGAGACGCGAAAGCGUGGGGAGCGAACAGG
rnacentral:rRNA from 1 species